GGAACCUGCAGCGUGAGGUCUGCUGGAUAGGUUUCUGCUCUACACUGGGUAAUUUGUUUCAACUGUGAUCACAUACCACCAGAAAGCUGACUGCAAGAGCAAUGCUCAGUCAGGGAACAGAAACAUACCUUUGAUCUCCUAGAGCAGCCAUCAAACAGGCAGUACAGCUUCCAAUACCAUUAUGGGCACCAGUGACAAACACCAUGAGUGAGCUCAGACCUGAAGCCUGCAGGAGGAAGCAAAGGUCUACACACAGCCUCCAGCACCAGAACCAGAGCAGCCACGUUUAAGAAAUAUAAGAGUUUUGCAUUUAUUCCAAGGUAAAGCAUGCGAGAGGCUGAUCCUGGUUGACAUAAUACUGCUAUUUGUACAGCACCUGCCUGCCAAAGUGCUUGGGACACUGUGCUGCAAAAAUCAAAGCAAAUGCAAUGCAAUGAAAACAUAAUGAAAUACGAACACACCGCAAAUGAGGAGGCCAGUUUUAGAAUAGGAGAGAAAGGAAUCAGAAGGGACUAAGAAUAGGGCCAGAGGCCACUCAACAAGCUUUUAAAGACAGAAAACGUUAAGGAGCUCUUUAAAACCAGAGAGACAGUUAUUGCUAUUUAUAUGUUGUACACACAGCAACAGAUAGGCCCUGCCCUGAAGGGCUUACAUUGUAAUUGGACAACACCAACAAAAGGUGGUGGGGGAAACGGACACAAAGGGGAUAAAUGAUUUCCCAGGGUCCUCCAGCAGGACAAUGGCAGAGUUGAAUAGAGCUGACUGUGGAGAUAUCUGAGCCAUUAGCGAUUACCUUUGAAAAGUCAUUGAAGACGGUAGAGAUUCCAGACAACUGAAAAAGGGCAAAUAUAGUGCCAAUCUAUAAAAAGGGAAAUAAGGACAACCCAGGGAAUUACAGACCAGUCAGCUUAACUUCUGUACCCGGAAAGAUAAU